AUUGAACGCUGGCGGCAGGCUUAACACAUGCAAGUCGAGCGGGGUGAUGGUGCUUGCACUAUCACUUAGCGGCGGACGGGUGAGUAAUGCUUAGGAAUCUGCCUAUUAGUGGGGGACAACAUCCCGAAAGGGAUGCUAAUACCGCAUACGUCCUACGGGAGAAAGCAGGGGAUCACUUGUGACCUUGCGCUAAUAGAUGAGCCUAAGUCGGAGUAGCUAGUUGGUGGGGUAAAGGCCUACCAGGGCGACGAUGUGUAGCGGGUCUGAGAGGAUGAUCCGCCACACUGGGACUGAGACACGGCCCAGACUCCUACGGGAGGCAGCAGUGGGGAAUAUUGGACAAUGGGGGGAACCCUGAUCCAGCCAUGCCGCGUGUGUGAAGAAGGCCUUAUGGUUGUAAAGCACUUUAAGCGAGGAGGAGGCUCUUUUGGUUAAUACCCAAGAUGAGUGGACGUUACUCGCAGAAUAAGCACCGGCUAACUCUGUGCCAGCCGCCGCCGUAA
rnacentral:rRNA from 1 species